rnacentral:rRNA from 1 species
GAGCCUCGAGCACUAGCUACCCACCGCCGAGUGGAUGGCAACAUUACCAGUAUGCGGAGACDUCCAAACUUGGACCGUCCGUCGCCGCGUCUCGCGCGGCUCACAGGCUAAAUGGUAAUGGGCGGGGGUGCGAGGCAUCCGCGCUUCAGAUAUAGUCGGUCCCUAGAGAGCUCUAGGAGACGCAACGUUCCGUAGGUGAACCUGCGGAAGGAUCAUUAUUGAGAGAGGGGGCUCUGCCUCCCGGGGGCUUCGGCCUUCAACUCUUCACCCUCUGCGUACCUAACCUGUGUUGCUUUGGCGAGCCUCGAGCUCCGUCUCGCGCGGGCUUGGACCCGCGAGUGUUCGCCAGAGGCCCUUUCAUUCCGAUUUAUUCGUACCGUCCGAGCACAAUGAGAACAAUCGUAUAAAACUUUCAACAACGGAUCUCUUGGUUCCAGCAUCGAUGAAGAACGCAGCGAAAUGCGAUAAGUAAUGUGAAUUGCAGAAUUCAGUGAAUCAUCGAAUCUUUGAACGCACAUUGCGCCCCUUGGCAUUCCGAGGGGCAUGUCUGUUCGAGCGUCAUUGCAUCCCUCAAGCGUAGCUUGGUAUUGGGUCUCGCUCCCCGGSGCGGUCCCGAAAAGCAAUGGUUGCCCGGCGUGGACGUUCGAGCGUAGUAAAUUUCUCCCGCUCCGGAUAUCACGCUGCGGUGGGUCCUAAUCUCUCAKACUAGCUCAAUGAUUGACCUCGGAUCAUGCAGGGAUACCCGCUGAACUUA